rnacentral:tRNA from 1 species
AAGGUAGUAGUUUAAAUAGAAAACGUUAAGUUGCAAUCUUACCAUUGGGGUCCCCCUACUUUU